UGAAGAUCUUAUCACACACUAAGGUGAGGACAUUGUAUAUUCAGAAUGAAAUCAAUUAUCGUCGGUCUCAUGAUUGUGUCGGUCAUCCUAUUGGCGAAUGCAAACAAGGUUUGCGAGUACAACGGUAACACGUACAAUGUUGGCGACAACUUCAUGGAUGCCGAGGGCUGUAACAGAUGCUUUUGUGCGGAAAACGGCGCGGUGGGGUGCACCAUGAAGUAUUGCCCUCCAAACUACCUGUGAACAACUCGGAUACUACUAUUGACCAGGCAGAAAAUGACAUAUCAAAUCAUCCCAAAGCAAAUAGGAACACUUUUUGCAUCGGUUUUCUUCUUCAAUAUAUUACAAUACAAAAAUGGAUCGGUGUUUGUUUCAUGUAUCUAGUUAAAAAUAAGAUUGUAUGAAUGUACCAUUACACAUGUAUUCCGUAAUAAAAUCAAACAUUCUGCUACAAA